rnacentral:tRNA from 1 species
GGCAGCGACAGCCGAGUGGUAAGCAUUACGACUGACAUUCGGAAGGCUCGGGUUCAAAUCCCAAUGCUACCA